rnacentral:rRNA from 1 species
UACGUAGGUGGCAAGCGUUGUCCGGAUUUACUGGGCGUAAAGAGCGCGCAGGCGGUCGUUCAAGUCGCGUGUGAAAGCCCCCGGCUCAACUGGGGAGGGUCACGCGAUGCUGAUCGACUCGAAGGCAGGAGAGGGUAGUGGAAUUCCCGGUGUAGUGGUGAAAUGCGUAGAUAUCGGGAGGAACACCAGUGGCGAAGGCGACUACCUGGCCUGUUCUUGACGCUGAGGCGCGAAAGCUAGGGGAGCAAACGGG